rnacentral:rRNA from 1 species
GUUCUUAAAAAAUCUAGAGCUAUUUUGAUGUACACGAAACCAGAUGAGCUACAUAUUUACUUAUUUUUAGAAAGUAUAUUUAGUGUGGCAAUACUAAGAGUACAAGGGAUAUUUAGGGGUGAAAGGCCUUUCAAAUCUGGUAAUAGCUUGAUGGACUUAAAAUAUAUUUAGUAUAUAAUUCAAUCUAAAAAUGAUUAGGUUUUUAGAGAUUAUAAAUUUGAAUAAAAUACUAGUAGAUUUAAUAAAAUAUUCUAUUUAAGUUACUAUAAUAUUUUUUUUCUAAAGAUUAUAUCUUUUAAAGUCCAAGUAAACUUAAUUAGUUAGGUUUAGUUUAUUAUGAGAACAUUAGUAUAGUAUUAAUUUUAAAGGAGGAACUCGGCAAACUUACGUCCUCGACUGUUUAACAAAAACAAGCCCUAUGACCUUAUUUAGGGUAACCUCUGCUCAAUGAUUUAUUAAAUAGCCGCAGUACCCUGACUGUGCAAAGGUAGCAUAAUCAAUUGGCUUAUAAUUGAAGUCUGGAAUGAAUGGGAAUUUGGGGAUAAGCUGUCUUUUUUAAACUACUUAAAGUUACUUAAUAAGUGAAAAUGCUUAUAUAUAGAAAAGAGACGAGAAGACCCUAGAAAUUUUCUUGUAAUAAACCACUGGGCAUUUUGUUGGGGCGACAUGGUAGCAUUGAACCUGCCGAAACAAUAUGAAAUUUAUUUAUUGAGUAAUUAAAUUACUCUAGGGAUAACAGCAUAAUAUAAUAAAGUUUGUGACCUCGAUGUUGGACUAGGGAAGGGCUUAUCUAGAAGAUAAACCUGUAUGCUCUGUUCGAGCAAAAUCCCCUACGUGAUCUGAGUUCAGACCGG